CUUUGCUCAUACAAGCUACAGAACCAUUUAGCACAAACUGCUAUGGUUCAACAUAACGAUGCCUCUGAAUGUUCUUGAAGCUGUUCUCCAGGAGGUGAUACCAGCACAGGGAGACUCAGCUUACCUCACCUUGGCAUUGACCUGCAAGUGCUUUGAAGCCGUUGUGUCUGAGCCAGUUUUCAGGAAGAAGACUCACUUUGCUUGGCUGGAUGGUGAGAUCAACUGGGGCAAAUUUUCAAAAAACAUUCAAGGCAGAAAACCGGAUUCCUUUUGCGGUUGUAACGUGUUUUUCCUGCAACCGGUAAUAUAAAGACUGUGGGCUUCACCGGCAACGGAAGACGAGGAGAGUACCCUGGUUACUACUGUGAUGGCCGACCUGGACACUGCACUGACUGUCAAUACUGAAUGCAAGGAGAAUAUUAGUUGCUUUCCACAGUCUUUCACACAUUUCAGUUGUCACACAUUGUUCGUUUUUUUUGUGACAUGCCAUUUUAAAUCAUUUCUGCUAAAUAAUAUUUGCCUUUUGACUUGUGCAGUCAUCCUUUUUAAUAAUGUGUUCUUUCAAUAUUAUUUACAUUUUUGAAUGUUCCUUUUGUUGUAGCUCAGUUGAUUUACAUUAUUUAGUUUUCACAGAAAUGGUGCCGUUUCCACACAAAGUUACAUUGUGGCUGUAAUUUGUUGGAGAGAGUAGAACCAAUAAAGUAGUUGUAAAUAUAUUGGAACAGCGUUGUUUAGCAAUAGGAUAACCUUGUUUUAA